rnacentral:misc_RNA from 1 species
AAGUCGUAACAAGGUAACCGUAGGUGAACCUGCGGUUGGAUCAUUAAUAAAAUUUAUUAAAGGUUAUUUUUUAAAAAGUUAUUUAUUUUUAAAGAAAUGUUUGUUUGAAAGAACCAUUUUCUUUAAAAUAAUACUUUUAAAUAACUCUUUAAACAAAUUUGUGAAUUUAUUAAAGUCUUUUGGGGUUAAUGAAAUUUUAUUUUUUUGUUAGCCCCAAUAAUUUUAUUUAAACAAAUAUGAUAUUAAAUCAAGUCUUUAAAAUUCUUUUUGAAUUAAAAUUUAUUAAUUUAAAAAAAACAACUUUUGACAACGGAUCUCUUGGCUCUC